UAGACCAGAGUGUCUCCAAAGAGUUGGUAUC
rnacentral:piRNA from 1 species